CACAGAGUGAAUAUAGUCCAUGAUGGAAGUGAGAUCGAGUGGCCUAGCUCGACUCCAACAUUUGCCCAUCCAUGAGAUAGCAGGCAUGUCCCAAGAUGUGGGGGCGAGACAGAUCAUAGACUCUUAAAGACAGAUGGAGGCCAAAUAUCAAGUCGAGAUGAAGAUUGUUGAGAAAAAUAUCUCGAGAUUCGAUCUAUAAUAAGCUUAGAACAAGAUUCAAAAUGAUGAACAAAAUCUAACGAGCCCA
rnacentral:lncRNA from 1 species